UACAGAGGGGGCAAGCGUUAUUCGGAAUUAUUGGGCGUAAAGGGCGCGUAGGCGGCUUUGCAAGUGACGGGUGAAAUCCCUCGGCUUAACCGAGGAACUGCCUGUCGAACCGGCAUUCUUGAGGCAGGUAGAGGUGGCUGGAACGACGGGUGGAGCGGUGAAAUGCGUAGAUAUCGAGAGGAACACCGGUGGCGAAGGCGAGUCCCUGGUCCACUUCUGACGCUGAGGCGCGAAAGCGUGGGUAGCAAACAGG
rnacentral:rRNA from 1 species